rnacentral:rRNA from 1 species
AAAGACGGUCUUGCUGUCACUUAUAGAUGGACCCGCGCCGUAUUAGCUAGUUGGUGGGGUAACGGCUUACCAAGGCGACGAUACGUAGCCGACCUGAGAGGGUGAUCGGCCACACUGGAACUGAGACACGGUCCAGACUCCUACGGGAGGCAGCAGUAGGGAAUCUUCCGCAAUGGGCGAAAGCCUGACGGAGCAACGCCGCGUGAGUGAUGAAGGUCUUCGGAUCGUAAAGCUCUGUUGUUAGGGAAGAACAAAUGUG